GCCUCUGUGGUGUAGUGGUAGCACACGCCCUCGGUAUGGAUGAAACGCGGGUUUAGUUCCCAUCUGAGGUU